rnacentral:rRNA from 1 species
UACGUAGGGGGCAAGCGUUGUCCGGAUUUACUGGGCGUAAAGAGCGCGUAGGCGGAACGUUAAGCGGGGCCGGAAAGCCCCCGGCUCAACCGGGGAAGGGGCCGCGAACUGGCGUUCUUGAGGGGGAGAGGGGAGAGCGGAAUUCCUGGUGUAGCGGUGAAAUGCGUAGAGAUGCGGCGGAACACCGAUGGCGAAGGCAGCCCCCUGGGCUGAGAUUGACGCUCAGGCACGAAAGCGUGGGGAGCAAACAGG